rfam:TPA: Bos taurus chromosome 10, whole genome shotgun sequence.
UCUCUGGUGGCUCAGUGGUACAGAAUCUGCCUGCAAUGCAGGAGACCUGGGUUCAAACCCUGGGUCGGGGAG